rnacentral:rRNA from 1 species
ACGGGUGAGUAAUACAUCGGGACGUGCCCAAGAGUGGGGGAUAACGGAGCGAAAGCUUUGCUAAUACCGCAUACGAUCUACGGAUGAAAGCAGGGGACCGCAAGGCCUUGCGCCCAUGGAGCGGCCGAUGGCAGAUUAGGUAGUUGGUGGGAUAAAAGCUUACCAAGCCGACGAUCUGUAGCUGGUCUGAGAGGACGACCAGCCACACUGGGACUGAGACACGGCCCAGACUCCUACGGGAGGCAGCAGUGGGGAAUUUUGGACAAUGGGCGCAAGCCUGAUCCAGCCAUGCCGCGUGCAGGAUGAAGGCCUUCGGGUUGUAAACUGCUUUUGUACGGAACGAAAAGCCUCUUUCUAAUAAAGAGGGGUCAUGACGGUACCGUAAGAAUAAGCACCGGCUAACUACGUGCCAGCAGCCGCGGUAAUACGUAGGGUGCGAGCGUUAAUCGGAAUUACUGGGCGUAAAGCGUGCGCAGGCGGUAAUGUAAGACAGAUGUGAAAUCCCCGGGCUCAACCUGGGAACUGCAUUUGUGACUGCAUUGCUGGAGUGCGGCAGAGGGGGAUGGAAUUCCGCGU